rnacentral:rRNA from 1 species
UGGGGAAUAUUGCACAAUGGGGGAAACCCUGAUGCAGCAACGCCGCGUGAGUGAUGAAGGUUUUCGGAUCGUAAAGCUCUGUCUUUGGGGAAGAUAAUGACGGUACCCAAGGAGGAAGCCACGGCUAACUACGUGCCGG